rnacentral:tRNA from 1 species
GGAGAGGUGGCCGAGUGGUUGAAGGCGCANGCUUGGAAAGNNUGUAAAGGGGNAACUCUUUCGCGGGUUCGAAUCCCGCUCUCUCCGCCA